GACGAACGCUGGCGGCGUGCUUAACACAUGCAAGUCGAACGGAAAGGCCUGCUUUCCCUUGUGGUUUGCGGGUACUCGAGUGGCGAACGGGUGAGUAACACGUGAGUGAUCUGCCCCCAACUUGGGUAUAAGCCUGGGAAACUGGGUCUAAUUCCCGAUAGGACUGCAGGGUGGUGCCUGUGGUGGAAAACGAUUUUCUAGUGGUUGGGGAUGAGCUCGCGGCCUAUCAGCUUGUUGGUGGGGUAAUGGCCUACCAAGGCGGCGACGGGUAGCCGGCCUGGGAGGGUGGACGGCCACAUUGGGACAGGGAUACGGCCCAGACGCCUACGAGAGGCAGCAGUGGGGGAUAUUGCACAAUAGGCGGGAGCCUGAUGCAGCGACGCCGCGUGGGGGAUGACGGCCUUCGGGUUGUAAACUCCUUUCGACCGAGAGGAAGCCACCUGGUUGGAGGGGUGGUGACGGUAGUGGUAGAAGAAGCACCGGCUAACUACGUG
rnacentral:rRNA from 1 species